UCAAAUCUCACUCUCAAACACACACAAUUCGCAGCUGAUUGCAGGAGCAAGACAGAUUCAUACCUCUUCACUAAAGUGAGCACAACUCACUCAAUUCUUGUCUGAUUUACUCCAUUCUUUUUUCUAUGUGUUUGGAUUGACCUUAACUUCGAUUCCAUGGGUUUUUCACAGAGAAUAAGGCCCUGGAACUCCGGAAAAUAGGCUCCAAAGUUCACUGUUUUUAUUCAUCUUUACUAAACAUUGUUUAUACUUGUGCAAACUUGAGUUUAACUCACUCAAACCCACGUGCUUAUGCUUAUAACCUCUUCCAUGGUUAGUUAAGCUUAGAAACGGGGCUGAGACAUACAAAAUCAGAGGUUAACCCUCAAAUACUUUCUGUUUUAUUUAGGGUUUUUGACCCACAAGUGGUGUUCGAGCUUCAAGCUUGAUAAAGGUGUGAUUGUGGACUAACUUGGGUUGUCCAACAUAAAAUCCCCACAUCCCUUGAUGAUUUCUCAUAGUGUAGAUGUUUUUUAUUCUUGUAUUAAUCUUAGUUCAUGACCCUCUUUGGUUGUUUUUACAUCAAGAGUAGUGGUGAACAAUUAAGAGGUACCUAAAUGGAAGCUUGUUCUUCCUACCUCCUACAUGAUUUCUAUGACAUUAGAGGUACCUAAAUGAAGAUGUUAAUCUUCUACCUCAUGCUUGAACUAUUAAUCUUUUGGACUUAAUAAUAUGUAUAUAAUAUAUGUAAUACAUAAAUACAUAAUCCAAAUAAUCAAAUCUUAGAUGAUGAACUAGUGUUCAUAUGUCCAAGUACUAGAUUAUAUCAUCCUAUAGUAUGAUAACUUGAUACGAUUCUAAUGGAACCUUGUUUCAUGAAACCAUAUAAACUCCUUGGAGUACAUAGUGUCAAAAACAAGUAUCAUAUGUAUUAGAUGAUUAUUUUCACAUGUUAUUCUCAUAUGUUAUUUUCAUAUUCUUUUAUUCCGAAUCUCGACUCUAAACAUACUUGAACUUUAACCCUUACAUAUUCAACCUUCUAACCUCAUCAACUUCGUCACAUUGGAUAAUUGGAAAGCCUAUGCAAUAUUGUUGAUGAUGACGAUGCUAUGAAAAGAAGUAGCGUUGAUGCCUAGAUACACAUAUAGACGUUAGGUUUAAUAUGUCGUAUCAAUUUUGCUUAUGUUAUCAUGUAUUUCUUUUGAAGUUGUUGUUACUUGAGUUUAUGUAAUGUUGACAAUUGAAAGUUAUGAAAUGAAAUGGGA
rnacentral:lncRNA from 1 species